rnacentral:lncRNA from 1 species
CCAAGGCCGGCGUCCUGAGACAUCUCCAACUCUGUCCUACUUAGGCAGAUUUAGCCAGUGGGCUUGGGGACAAAUUGUGGCCUGCAGUUGCUUCUCCUACUCAGAGAGGCACUAGAGACAGCCCAGGCUGCAAAAGAUGGGGUCCACAUGGAGGGACCCAAGAGAGGCCUGACAGCAGCCCUUGGGGCCUUCACUCCUGGAGGAGGAGGCAGUACCACGACGUGCCCCAUGUUUCUUCCCUCAGCGCCCUCAGCCUCAUAGAUGCCGGGGUAGAGCAGUUCACCUGAGCUACACAUUUUCAACCCCAGAGGGCUCCAGGGUCCAAUUCCACUCCUACUGUGGA